rnacentral:tRNA from 1 species
UGCCCGAUCGUCUAAUGGUAGGACAACGGUUUCUGGUACCGUUUAUUGGGGUUCGAGUCCCUGUCGGGCAG